rnacentral:tRNA from 1 species
GCAGUGGUAGUUCAGGGGUAGAAUUCUUGCCUUCCAUGCAGGAGAUCCAAGUUUGAUUUCCAGCCAAUGCA